AGAUCUGUUUCAUUUCCAAGCAAAAGACAUUUAGAACUGCAAAAGUGAUCUUUUGCCAACAAAGUGAGUUUACUUUUUUCCUUUUGUUUUUCAAUUUAUUGUGCUGAUAUCUUCUUGGGACCUUAUACUCAACCUCUAUUAUGGAUCAAGCCAAAAUCUUUUAAAGAUAUAAUUUACUGCACAAAAAGUAAUACAGGUGUUUGACUCAGUGGAGAUAGUGAAUCCAGAUGGACACACACAGGAGAAACCACCCAUGAUAUUAUUACAUGAGUGGGAGCAAGGAGAACUGACUGCACAUUCAUCCUCAUCUAAGGCACUUACCAACACUUGGUGGAAUGUUGUCAACAUGGGCCUCCAGUGUGCUGGUGCCCUCCUCUGCAUUCUCUGUGAUAUUGGCCUCCAGAAAGGCCACUCCAAACUCCUUCUCAUU